rnacentral:lncRNA from 1 species
AAAAAGGCGGGAGGGCCCAGCACCGUGCCGAGCUUUCUGGACGCCGCGGUUCUGGCGCGCGGCAGCCAGGCGGCGCUAUGCGCUCCGCUUGGAGCGGCGAGGUGCGGCACGCAAGUGGAGAAACGCAGCCUCUUGCAGCAGCAGCAGCAGCAGCUCGAUAAGCGCCGUGGAAGCGGGUGGAAUAGUAACCGGGCACGGGCGGGCGCCUGAGGAGACAGCGCGCGCGGAGUUUCUGGGCACCUGAGCAGGAGGAAGGAGGGAUUCGGUGGGGAUUGUUGCAAGCGGCGGAUGCGGCCGAGGAUUUAACCCCAGCUGGGACUUGCUGGCUGCCCUCGACGCCCAUGGCUUGGCACAGCGGGGCGGGGAGUGCAUAGCUCCGGUGAGUGCAGGCGGCUUUUCUCGCGUCGGACUUCUUCUCUCAGACUGGGAGGCGAGGAAAGUGGGUGAGCCGAGGAAGGAGAGGUCUGCGUUUUGGGGGGCGCAUUCUAGAUCCGUUUCUGGAAACCGAACGCGCGCGCGCGCACCUUCCUUUCCUCCUGUCCAGAUCCCACCUCGUUAGAAGAAGGCAGCCCAGCUUGAAAACUCCGAGCGGCUGGGAACGUGCCGAGCCUUUCCUGCCUCCCACAGAGACGGGCUGCCCCCGCGCCGGCUUCGCGCUUUUGCUCGGGUGGGCGGCGUGGCCUCUGGAGGGGACUCCGCACCUUGCGCAGGGGGAGCGAGCGAGCGAGCAACCGCUCGGCUGGGGAGGCGUGGGGCUCGGAAGCGGCGUUUGACCGCAGGCCAAGCCCCGACCCCGGCCCGGUGGGCACGUCCAUUCCGGGGCAUAAUAGACUGAUCCAGGCAUUGUUUGGGGCGGCCGGGGGCGGGCACGCAGCUGAGGAACGUGGCGGGCCUUUUAACCCUAUAGCCAUUACUCAACGGCGCAAACUUUUAAUUUAAUAAUGCACUUUCCGAUCGAUUGGUGCUUGCAGCCCGAAGUGAAUUAGCAAAAGCGAGCCGAGGGUGUGUGUGUUUUUUUGUUUUGUUUGCGUCCGUCUUCGAGGUUGGUGGCGGCGAUGGGAGAUUAAUGAGGCUGAGCUCCUGGGUGUUCUCGAGGAAGGUGAUGGGAACUCCUUCCGAACUGUGUGACUGGAAAACCCGUAAUGUAUAUUGAAUUAAGUUAAAUCAAAGAGGGGAUCGAUCUCCGAGCUGCUGAACUAGGGCUAUAGGAUCUUAUUGCUGUGCAGAAUUAAAAGUUUCUGACCCCAACCUCACCCCUUUUAAAGGUUAUUUAAGAAGUGCUGUCCUAUAAUAUAAUGCACGACUCCUUAAUUCAAAACGCUACGCCUCCAUCCGUCAGUCUGGACAGCCCCACAGUGAUCGUCAGCUCUGAGCUGUUCGUCUGCCAAACACCAAGCCCCAAUUAUUUGCAGGUGGACUUGGGAGUGAGCCAUUGUGUUUUCCCAUAAGAGUGUGCCAUAGACUUCUAUAUACCUGUGCCUUUCUUUGAGUCUUUUAACACCUGUUAGGCACCCUGCUUCUAAUCGCAUUAUGCGGAAGUAAACACAACGAAGUCACGGGGACUUGCUUCCACGGAAAUGUGUUUCAGGCAGGGCUGUUGGGAGAGACAUGCCAAUCCAAGUAUUUGUGCAAAGGGGAGAGAUGUGGCGGUGACUAAGAUGUGUGUUAAAGGAUAUCUAGUUUACGAAGAUCACCAUGAUACUAACUGGUUGUGAUCUCUGCCUUGGUCUGUGUGGUGCUAGCCCUUUUUAACAGAAGCAUUAGGAGAACAACAUACAGUCGGUUUGCACUGAUAGAAAUACUAUCUUUAUUUCUGCUGUAGAUCGUAAUUGCAAGCAGCUUAUAUUUCAGCUUUGAAACAUUUGUUUCAUGCUAAAUCCUGACAUGUACAGUGUCAGAUCAGGUGUGAUUUUUCCAGAAACAAAAAUUGAUCUGAAUCUGACUCAGCUGUUAUCAGAAAGCACAGGAUAAUCCCCCCUUCCUCUCACUGGAACUGUGCCUCUGGUUUGCAGACAGCUGAAUGUAUGUUCCUAAAAAUGGCAUUUUAUAGGAUCAUCCGAAUAAUCUAUUGGUGUUUUUGCUGGGAAUAUUUUAAAAAUACACACAUGGUUACAUUCUGAAAACAAACCUCUGGAUGCAUGCUUCUAAAUUCCUGGUUUUGCUAUGCAUCUCAAUAUGAAACCCCUCUCCUGUGUUUUCAUAAUUUGGUAUGGUAUGAAUUCUGUAAAUGGUGUUCUGCAGAGAUCUGCUUAACAAUGUGAUCAGGAAUAGUAAUUAGUACUGCAAAGGGCCAAUUGCCCUGUAUUUUUAGUGGCUACUUUAAUUCUUCACUGUACAUAGUGGAAACCUAGAGUGUGGGGUGAUAUGUGCAAAUGAGCUGGGGUCACAUCAGAGGUGUUCUGAUACAGUGAGGUUUUUGCCCAUUUAUUCCUUUCAUUUCUGGCUGAGCCCUUGUUCUGCUAAGCGACUCAAUGCUGAUCUCAUACACUUGUUGCAUAAUUAUAUUUGGAGGGGGACACACAUCUGGCACUAAACAUUACAUUUAAGGGUGACUUCUUUCCCUUAGCUGUGGGUUAGGUCAUGAGAUUUGUUCCGGCUGGAUUCCUUGAUGAUGUUAAUCAGGUGUUUUUAGGACAAAUUCUCUUUAAUGUCAUGUGAAAGAAUGUAACUUUUAUGUGUGAGGGAGAGAAAAAUAAUGUAAUUGAUCUCUUAAAGGUAUGAUGUAUAUAAAAUGUACAUGCAACUACAUGCAAGAUGAAUUCCCCCCUUGCAUUUUUAAAAAUCUUUCUUUUUAUCUGUAUGUUCACAUGUCUGGUUUCUAAUGGUUUUCCCAGGGGUUGCCAAUGUAGCCCCUGUGAUGGGCACAAUAGUGCCCCUGAAGCCUUCACUGCCUACAAAGUCUCUGAGCACCUCUACAUUCAGUGCCACCUUUAUCAUGAGCUGGGAAGUGUAGUCACUUUCCUCCCCCCUUGAAAAGUACAUUGAGCUGAAGGAGGUAUUUAUAAGGGUGAUGAUGCUCUUUCCCACUUCUUUUAGCUCUGUGUACUUUUCUAAACUCAGAUUAAUUAUGAGUUUUGUUUGGGAUCUGACUUCUGUCCAGUGCCCACAGCUCUUACUCAAAAAUCUGACCGCUCCUGCAACCUAAAAAGCUUGGCAAUACCUGACUUUACUAUGAAAACCAGUGUGAGAAAUAAGCUCCAGGGGCAGGUGAGGGUUAAUUCUGGCUGCAGUCCUGUGCACACCCACUUGGAUGUAAGAAAUAACCCACACCAAUUCUGAGCGCAUCACUGGCUAAGCACAGUUCUCUCCCCCACCCUGGGUAUUUAUUCAUGUGAGAAUUCAUUUGUAGAAGAUACAAAUAUGUUUAAUGUGCAAGGUUAUUUAUGGAAACGUGUAUGAUG